rnacentral:rRNA from 1 species
GAUGAACGCUGGCGGCGUGCCUAAUACAUGCAAGUCGAGCGAACAGACGAGGAGCUUGCUCCUCUGACGUUAGCGGCGGACGGGUGAGUAACACGUGGAUAACCUACCUAUAAGACUGGGAUAACUUCGGGAAACCGUAGCUAAUACCGGAUAAUAUAUUGAACCGCAUGGUUCAAUAGCGAAAGACGGUUUUGCUGUCACUUAUAGAUUGAUCCGCGCAGCAUUAGCUAGUUGGUAAGGUAACGGCUUACCAAGGCAACGAUGCGUAGCCGACCUGAGAGCGUGAUCGGCCACACUGGAACUGAGACACGGCCCAGACUCCUACGGGAGGCAGCAGUAGGGAAUCUUCCGCAAUGGGCGAAAGCCUGACGGAGCAACGCCGCGUGAGUGAUGAAGGUCUUCGGAUCGGAAAACGCUGUUAUUAGGGAAGAACAAAUGUGUAAGUAACUAUGCACGUCUUGACGGUACCUAAUCAGAAAGCCACGGCUAACUACGUG